UACGUAGGGGGGCAAGCGUUGUCCGGAAUCAUUGGGCGUAAAGAGCUCGUAGGCGGUUCGUCGCGUCGGCUGUGAAAACCUGAGGCUCAACCUCAGGCCUGCAGUCGAUACGGGCGGACUUGAGUACUGCAGGGGGAGACUGGAAUUCCUGGUGUAGCGGUGAAAUGCGCAGAUAUCAGGAGGAACACCGGUGGCGAAGGCGGGUCUCUGGGCAGUAACUGACGCUGAGGAGCGAAAGCGUGGGGAGCGAACAGG
rnacentral:rRNA from 1 species